UCUUCACCCAACUCCCUCCCAUCCUCGAAACCCUACCGCGGCUACUCUCCUCCACGCAAUGCAGAGUCGCCCCUUCAAACAGCCGAUCACGGGCAGAUCUUCCUCGUCUUCGUCUUCUCCUCCCUAUCAGAUUCGACCGACAUCAUUUCCCCCAAUUCAGACGAACCAUAAUUUCCCAAAAUCCCCAAACUCCAGCCUUUACAUCGCGGCAAAUUUCAGACCUUUAACCGCAAGAAGCUUUCCAGGAAGAAGGGGGGGACUUUGCGAGGGCUCUGGGUAAGUGCUCUGGGGGAUUCUUCUCCGUCCAUUACUCUGCAACUGUUACUGGCAGAGCAUAGCCCAGCCAUGCCGCCGCCGCUGCCGCCUUCUCCCGGCGACUUCUUGGGCAUUUUCGAGGGAUCCACAAUGUUCUGUCCUUAAUUUAGCUUCUCUGUAAAGAAUGUGUAAUCAUUUUUUUCCUCGACAGAUGUUCUGUAGUAUUUCGUAAAGAAUGCAAGCUCGAAAACAAAAAGCAAGGGAGCAAGAGCAACUCAGUGACACGACUCUGAGCUGAAAGAAAAUGGGAAUGCAUCGAAAAUUUCUCACAAA